AAAACAAUUCUUCGGAUAAGUUACAUUGAUUUUGCUACGGGCCAUGGUAUAGGUACUUAUUGUACAAGAUUUAUGAGUAUUCGAUUUCUAUUUUGAAUGGUUCAACGUGUAAAUGAAUGAUGUGGUUGAGAAAGAGGUUAGUACAAGGCGAUACAGUAAGACCAUAGCUGGGCUAUCGACAUCGAUAUGUGAUCCCAUGUAAGACCAUGUCUAGGACAUGGCAUUAGCAUCGAUCUAUGAUCC
rnacentral:lncRNA from 1 species